GACGAACGCUGGCGGCGUGCUUAACACAUGCAAGUCGAACGGAAAGGCCCUGCUUGCAGGGUACUCGAGUGGCGAACGGGUGAGUAACACGUGGGUGAUCUGCCCUGCACUUCGGGAUAAGCCUGGGAAACUGGGUCUAAUACCGGAUAGGAGCCAUUUUUAGUGUGAUGGUUGGAAAGUUUUUUCGGUGUAGGAUGAGCUCGCGGCCUAUCAGCUUGUUGGUGGGGUAAUGGCCUACCAAGGCGGCGACGGGUAGCCGGCCUGAGAGGGUGGACGGCCACAUUGGGACUGAGAGACGGCCCAGACUCCUACGGGAGGCAGCAGUGGGGAAUAUUGCACAAUGGGCGCAAGCCGGAUGCAGCGACGCCGCGUGGGGGAUGACGGCCUUCGGGUUGUAAACUCCUUUCGCUAGGGACGAAGCUUUUUGUGACGGUACCUAGAGAAGAAGCACCGGCUAACUACGUG
rnacentral:rRNA from 1 species